rnacentral:pre_miRNA from 1 species
CAUGCACUGAUGGGGUCCCUCGGCCUGGCCUGCGGGGAUUGGGCCAAAACUGGCUCUCUGACAUCCCCCAAGGAGUCCCGAAUUGUGAGAGGGUGCAAGCCAGGCUGAGGGACCCCACCGGUGCAUG